ACGUCAGGUGACAAAAAAGUUCACUUUCCUCAUGGAAGCUUAUGCCAUCCAACAAACCAAAAAAAAUGCAAAGAGUGUGGAUAUUUAUCACACAUAAGUGGUGUAAUUGGAUUUCUUGGUUUCUGACGCCUGAGACAUGACCGUAAAGCAACGCAACAAGUCGUGUAAUGAAUGAAGCUUUUGCUCUCAUGUUGUAAAAACUGAAGCACAAAAGGACUACUCUUUGAUGCACCAAGUCCGUUACUGUUGGUGGAACCGAAGGGAGGGAGAGCUGAGACGGCUUACUAUGCAGAAAUAGGAUCAUGUUGGUUCAUCGGAUAAAAAGGCCCAGAGAGGAGACAGUGGGUGAGGCCUGUCCUAAAGCACCCUGUGUCCAGAGUAGAACUAGGUCAACAGAGACCGCUGGUUGUAUGUGUGCGCAAGAGUGAUAAAGGCAGAGAGAGAAAACACACGGAAGUGACCAAACAUAUCAAUUGUUGGAGAGCUUCAGCUGGUGCCUCAUGAGUGAGGCCUAUGACUAAGAUCGGAAGAAGUAGGAGUGUGCCUGUGCCAAUGUUGCCAAACCAAUACUGUAGGGAAAAGA